rnacentral:misc_RNA from 1 species
CGCACAUUGCGCCCCCUGGUAUUCCGGCGGGCAUGCCUGUUCGAGCGUCAUUUCAACCCUCAAGCUAUGCUUGGUAUUGGGAGCUGGCCCCCCGGGGCCUUCCCGAAAGUUAGCGGCGAUGCGGCCGGAUUCCCAGCGCAGUGACAUCUAAUUCUCGCUGAUUGGAUCCCCGGGCGACGUCCGCCGGACAACAACCCCAUUUUUUUUCAAGAUUGACCUCGGAUCAGGUAGGGAUACCCGCUGAACUUAA